GAUGAACGCUGGCGGCGUGCCUAAUACAUGCAAGUCGAGCGAAGAGGGGACGGGUGAGUAACACGUGGAUACCCUUCUCUAUGACUGGGAUAACUUCGGGAAACCGGAGCUCCACCGGAUACUUAUACAUGGAACCGCGCUGCAUUCGCUAGUUGGUACGGUAACGGCGUACCAAGGCAACGAUGCAGAGCCGACCUGAGAGGGGGAACGGCCACACUGGAACUGAGACACGGUCCAGACUCCUACGGGAGGCAGCAGUAGGGAAUCUUCCGCAAUGGGCGAAAGCCUGACGGAGCAAUGCCGCGUGAGUGAAGAAGGUCUUCGGAUCGUAAAACGCUGUUAUUAGGGAAGCGGUACCUAAUCAGAAAGCCACGGCUAACUACGUGCCAGCAGCCGCGGUAAUAC
rnacentral:rRNA from 1 species